UACGUAGGGUGCAAGCGUUGUCCGGAAUCAUUGGGCGUAAAGAGCGUGUAGGCGGCCCGAUAAGUCCGCUGUGAAAGUCCAGGGCUCAACCCUGGAAUGCCGGUGGAUACUGUCGGGCUCGAAUCCGGAAGAGGUGAGUGGAAUUCCUGGUGUAGCGGUGAAAUGCGCAGAUAUCAGGAGGAACACCGGUGGCGAAGGCGGGUCUCUGGGCCGUAACUGACGCUGAGGAGCGAAAGACGUGGGGAGCGAACAGG
rnacentral:rRNA from 1 species